rnacentral:tRNA from 1 species
GCCGGGAUGAUGGAAUUGGUAGACGUAGCGGACUUAAAAUCCGCUUCCCCGCAAGGGGAGUGCCGGUUCAAGUCCGGCUCCCGGCA